rnacentral:rRNA from 1 species
AACGCUAGCGACAGGCUUAACACAUGCAAGUUCGAGGGGCAGCACAGGUAGCAAUACCGGGCGGCGACCGGCGCACGGGUGAGUAACGCGUAUGCAACUUGCCUAUCAGAGGGGGAUAACCCGGCGAAAGUCGGACUAAUACCGCAUGAAGCAGGGGCCCCGCAUGGGGAUAUUUGCUAAAGAUUCAUCGCUGAUAGAUAGGCAUGCGUUCCAUUAGGCAGUUGGCGGGGUAACGGCCCACCAAACCGACGAUGGAUAGGGGUUCUGAGAGGAAGGUCCCCCACAUUGGUACUGAGACACGGACCAAACUCCUACGGGAGGCAGCAGUGAGGAAUAUUGGUCAAUGGGCGUAAGCCUGAACCAGCCAAGUCGCGUGAGGGAUGAAGGUUCUAUGGAUCGUAAACCUCUUUUAUAAGGGAAUAAAGUGCGGGACGUGUCCCGUUUUGUAUGUACCUUAUGAAUAAGGAUCGGCUAACUCCGUGCCAGCAGCCGCGGUAAUACGGAGGAUCCGAGCGUUAUCCGGAUUUAUUGGGUUUAAAGGGUGCGUAGGCGGCCUUUUAAGUCAGCGGUGAAAGUCUGUGGCUCAACCAUAGAAUUGCCGUUGAAACUGGGAGGCUUGAGUAUGUUUGAGGCAGGCGGAAUGCGUGGUGUAGCGGUGAAAUGCUUAGAUAUCACGCAGAACCCCGAUUGCGAAGGCAGCCUGCCAAGCCAUUACUGACGCUGAUGCACGAAGGCGUGGGGAUCAAACAGGAUUAGAUACCCUGGUAGUCCACGCAGUAAACGAUGAUCACUAGCUGUUUGCGAUACACUGUAAGCGGCACAGCGAAAGCGUUAAGUGAUCCACCUGGGGAGUACGCCGGCAACGGUGAAACUCAAAGGAAUUGACGGGGGCCCGCACAAGCGGAGGAACAUGUGGUUUAAUUCGAUGAUACGCGAGGAACCUUACCCGGGCUUGAAUUGCAACUGAAUGAUGUGGAGACAUGUCAGCCGCAAGGCAGUUGUGAAGGUGCUGCAUGGUUGUCGUCAGCUCGUGCCGUGAGGUGUCGGCUUAAGUGCCAUAACGAGCGCAACCCUUAUCGAUAGUUACCAUCAGGUUAUGCUGGGGACUCUGUCGAGACUGCCGUCGUAAGAUGUGAGGAAGGUGGGGAUGACGUCAAAUCAGCACGGCCCUUACGUCCGGGGCUACACACGUGUUACAAUGGGGGGUACAGAAGGCAGCUACACGGCGACGUGAUGCUAAUCCCGAAAGCCUCUCUCAGUUCGGAUUGGAGUCUGCAACCCGACUCCAUGAAGCUGGAUUCGCUAGUAAUCGCGCAUCAGCCACGGCGCGGUGAAUACGUUCCCGGGCCU